rnacentral:rRNA from 1 species
UACGUAGGUGGCGAGCGUUGUCCGGAUUUACUGGGCGUAAAGAGCGCGCAGGCGGUCGUACAAGUCGCGUGUGAAAGCCCCCGGCUCAACUGGGGAGGGUCACGCGAUACUGUUCGACUCGAAGGCAGGAGAGGGAAGCGGAAUUCCCGGUGUAGUGGUGAAAUGCGUAGAUAUUGGGAGGAACACCAGUGGCGAAGGCGGCUACCUGGACCGGUUCUGACGCUGAGGCGCGAAAGCGUGGGUAGCAAACAGG